rnacentral:rRNA from 1 species
CUACGGGACGCUGCAGUGAGGAAUAUUGCACAAUGGGGGGAACCCUGAUGCAGCAACGCCGCGUGGAGGAUGACGCAUUUCGGUGUGUAAACUCCUUUUAUAUGUCAAGAAAAUGACGUUAGCAUAUGAAUAAGCACCGGCUAACUCCGUGCCAGCAGCCGCGGUAAUACGGAGGGUGCAAGCGUUACUCGGAAUCACUGGGCGUAAAGGACGCGUAGGCGGGUUGGAAAGUCAGGUGUGAAAUCCUAGAGCUUAACUGGAGAACUGCAUUUGAAACUUCUAAGCUAGAGUAUGGGAGGGGGAGAUGGAAUUAGUGGUGUAGGGGUAAAAUCCGUAGAUAUCACUAGGAAUACCUAAAGCGAAGGCGAUCUCCUGGAACAUUACUGACGCUAAGGCGUGAAAGCGUGGGGAGCAAACAGGAUUAGAUACCCGCGUAGUC